rnacentral:rRNA from 1 species
CCUACGGGAGGCAGCAGUAAGGAAUAUUGGUCAAUGGACGCAAGUCUGAACCAGCCAUGCCGCGUGCAGGAUGACGGCCCUCUGGGUUGUAAACUGCUUUUAUACGGGAAGAAACCUCUGGUUGCGAUCAGAGCUGACGGUACCGUAAGAAUAAGGACCGGCUAACUUCGUGCCAGCAGCCGCGGUAAUACGAAGGGUCCAAGCGUUAUCCGGAUUUAUUGGGUUUAAAGGGUGCGUAGGCGGCUUAUUAAGUCAGUGGUGAAAGACUUCAGCUUAACUGAAGAACUGCCAUUGAUACUGAUGAGCUUGAAUAUACUUGAGGUGGGCGGAAUGUGUCAUGUAGCGGUGAAAUGCUUAGAUAUGACACAGAACACCGAUUGCGAAGGCAGCUCGCUAAAGUAUGAUUGACGCUGAUGCACGAAAGCUGGGGAGCAAACAGGAUUAGAUACCCUGGUAGUCCACGCCCUAAACGUUGAUAACUCGAUGUGUGGNGAUAUACAGUACGCGUCCACGACGAAGACAGUUAAGUUAGUCCACCGUAGGAAGUACGGUACGCGAGAGUAGAACGUACGAAGAAGUAGACGGACGUAGAGGACGUUGGACCGACGGACGACGACGAGGGGAGGUAGG